UAGACCUGUGGGGAUGUUAGACCCAUAUUUCCUGGGGCUUUUUAGGGAGGGGAAGAGUUUUGUGGGGAAAAUGGUGGGAGGGAAGCUAAGGGUUAGGUUUCCUUUCCCUCCCUGCCACAUCCAUGUUCCAAAAAACUCUUCUAAUGAUGCCUUGGUGUAGAGAAGCGCAAAUGGUCUUGCAAAUUUUCCAUUGUAGAGUUCAGACCCUGAUCUACAUACAUUAUGUAGCAGAACGAGGUGAGAGAAUCCGGAGACAGUUGUGCCAUUUCAGAUGGCAGAUGAAGGAGGGAUAAAGAAGAUAAAGAAGGGAGAGCAGGAAGGAUCUUGAAGUUGACCAUCAACACUUAGCACCUGGACAGCAGACGGAGCAGGCACGCAUAUCACCUUGUCAUUGCCUUCCCCAUUAUGAUACUACAAAUUAGAUCUUCAGAUGUUAAGUUAUCCACAGUGUUUUAAAAGGAGAAGGCACCUGGCCAAUUCCAGAGUCUGAUGUUGAUGCUAAAAUAAAAUGCCACCAUUCUGCUUCAAAA